UCAAAAACUGCAGUUUGUAAAUUUUUGAUUCUUUAGCUCUCGAAAACCUCCCACAAUGCACUUUUGAUCAUUUUAACACCUUCGGACUUUCGAAGUGUACUAUCCUCGCACUUUGGUCAAUUUGACUAAAAUUCGAUAUUUAUUUUUCGAAUUUUCGGUAUAUUACAUUCUCCACCCCUUAAAAUAAUUUCAUCCGCGAAAUUACGCAUACCUUAACUUGUCGACUCAAAUAGAUGCGAAUACUCUCUCCGCAUAGUUUCCUCAAGCUCCCAA
rnacentral:lncRNA from 1 species